UCACCCGGCAGAAAUAUAUAUAUAUAUAUAUAUAUAUAUAUAUAUAUAUAUAUAUAUAUCUGUCCCUUUGCCCAGUGAAU